rnacentral:rRNA from 1 species
AGCGAACGCUGGCGGCAGGCUUAACACAUGCAAGUCGAGCGGGCACUUCGGUGUCAGCGGCAGACGGGUGAGUAACACGUGGGAACGUACCCUUCGGUUCGGAAUAACGCUGGGAAACUAGCGCUAAUACCGGAUACGCCCUUUUGGGGAAAGGUUUACUGCCGAAGGAUCGGCCCGCGUCUGAUUAGCUAGCUGGUGGGGUAAUGGCCUACCAAGGCGACGAUCAGUAGCUGGUCUGAGAGGAUGAUCAGCCACACUGGGACUGAGACACGGCCCAGACUCCUACGGGAGGCAGCAGUGGGGAAUAUUGGACAAUGGGCGCAAGCCUGAUCCAGCCAUGCCGCGUGAGUGAUGAAGGCCUUAGGGUUGUAAAGCUCUUUUGUCCGGGACGAUAAUGACGGUACCGGAAGAAUAAGCCCCGGCUAACUUCGUG